rnacentral:rRNA from 1 species
UGGGGAAUAUUGGACAAUGGGGGCAACCCUGAUCCAGCAAUGCAGCGUGAGUGAAGAAGGGUUUGGGGUUGUAAAGCUCUUUUAUCAGGGACGAUAAUGACGGUACCUGAGGAAUAAGCUCCGGCUAAAUUAGUGCCAGCAGCCGCGGUAAUACGAAGGGAGCUAGCGUUGUUCGGAAUUACUGGGCGUAAAGGGAGCGUAGGCGGUAAGAUAAGUCAGAUGUGAAAGCCUUGGGCUUAACCUGAGAACUGCAUUUGAUACUGUCUACCUAGAGGACGGUAGAUUAACAUGGAAUUACGGGUGUAGAGGUGAAAUUCUUAGAUAUUCAUAAUAACACCAAUGGCGAAGGCGACUUUCUGGCUCGUUUCUGACUCUAAGGCGCGAAAGCGUGGGGAGCAAACA